CCAGGUGACUGGUGGGGAAAAAACCAAGUGGCAGACAAGAAAAAGGCAUCUCUACACAGAUCAACUAAUCACAAAUGGAAUUUCAGGGAAAAUUCUUUGUAAGUCCUCACCUUGAAAGGCUUUAUCAUCUUAAGAAGUUUGGACUUCAUCCUGACAGCAAAUAGAUGAUGAAUGAGACAAUUCUAGCUGCAAUAUGAAGAAUGGAGUGAACAGAGUAAUGCUGGAGACAUUGACUCAAAUUAGGCACAUAGGUGAGAGACGAAAAUAACUAGGGUAGAUAUUAGCAACAGAGCUAAGUAGAGAUAUUCAUGGGACAGAAGAUUUGGGACUUUAUGACUGGUUUGCUACAUGAGGAGCAGGAAUUAACGAUGACAGAUAGGUGAGACCAGGGCGAAGAGAUAUGUAGUGGUGCUUGCUUGAGGUAUGAGGGUUGGGACUACAAAAGGGGAAUUGCCAGUCAGUUCAUUAGAACAGGCAGUUGAUUGACUGGCUCACCACACUUUUGUAGGUUCAUGUGGUAAGAAAUCCUGAGUUCAUGUAGUUUAUCACUCAAAGCAAAGUAGGCUUCAUGGUCUUUGUGUUUUUAUUGGUUCCCAAAGACCUGUGAUGCAGAGUGAGGCACAUUUAGAUGAUGUACUCACAAUCUGUGUACUUCUGAUUUUCUUAGAGGUUACUAGCAAAUUUAUGCAACCUUAUUCUGGAGGGUGACCUAGUCUCUGAGUCCUAUUCUGUAAUAAAUGUAUCCUUCCCACAGCAACACCGUGCACAAUGCAUUGGUUUCCAAUAAUAUCCAAAUAAAUAUUUUCUGUGGACACUACAUUUUGUAUUCAGCAUGAAUAUAGAAGUUAGGUAAAAGCAAAAUCUAUUAACUUUGGCUAUGUUAAAUGAUGCCAUGACAUUUUUGAGAUAGUUAAGGCAAUAUUAGUACGUGAGAGUCAAUACUUGAUUAAUUACAGACUGAAUCUGUCUAGGUUUCCUCUUCAAUUCUCAUGAGAUCUAAUAAUCUGCUAGUGUUCCAAAAACAAGAAAUAGAAAAGAGUGUGGUGAGAUGAUAUGUACAACAUACUAGUAACUGGUCUUACAACUGUGACUUCUGUCUGUGUUGGUUUCCAAUAGGAAUAAAAUACAAGGGACACACGUGAGCCAUAUAUAUAUAAACAUUCUGGAAUUCAUGUUUUAAAAAAGUAAAGAGAAACAGGUAAAAUAAAAUUUAAUAAUAUAUCUUUAUUUAGCCCAAUAUGUAAAAUCAUUCUUUUUAACACACAUUCGGCAUAAAUACUUUUGUGGGUUUUUUUAUUUUAAACUUUGAAAUAUAGUAUGUAUCACAUUCUUGUGAGAAGCUCUAAUUUGGGUCAGACACAUUAUAAGCACUCAAUAGUCAUUUGUGUCUACUGAGUACCAUAUUGAACAGAGCAAAUCUAGACUCCAAGAAGAGCAAAUUAUAUUUCAUUAUACCUGUGGAAUCUAAGUGUGUUUUGGGUCUUGCAAGACUAAACAUUAUAACAUAUUUCAUCUUACACAAUCUAAGUUUGUAAGGUAUUUUAUCAACCGAGAAUUUCCUACAGUGUAUUUUGAUCAGAUACGAUCACACUCCUCUCCUCCCCUGGAUUCACUUCCACUUCCUGGUUUCCAGUUUCCUUACAUUCCUUCUGCUUCCUCUUCUGUAAUGGUGCUGGAGACUUGAGGCAGAAUUGAGGUAUAGGCGUCAGGCUUGUGGCUGAGCACUGAUACCUAUUCUCCAUACCUUGACCUGUUGUGAGUUUCUGUGUUAAUCACCAUUCACUGCACAAAGAAACGUCUUUUAUGAAGCCUGAGAGCUGCAUUAAUCUAUGGGUAAGGAGAUGCAAAUUUAGAGAUUAGUUUGAUACUGUGUCCAUUUAGUGGAAUAACAUUAGUUAGUUCACUCCUGGAGCCUGUGGUCUCCCUUAACCAUGACUAAAGAGUCAGAUUGACAGUACCAAGCAAGUAUUAUUUUCUGGUGGGGCUGGCCAUAAAUACUAUCAGAAGACAAUCAAUCAGCUACUUUCAUAAUAUUCAUGCCAAUAUUCAAUUCAUGGACUUGUCUAGACUUCAAGAACAGCAAAUUUUAUUUCAUUAUAACUGUGGAAUAUGUUUGUUUCGUGUGUUAAAAGACACACAAAAUUUCAAUUAAAUUAAAUUUCAAAAGCAAUCUAAUGUGGCAACUAACACUACAAUGAAAAAAACCCAAAACUAUAAUAUUUAUUUAAUACCCCUCCAUGAGUGUGUUUUACUUAAAAACAGAUAUAUAUAUUGUUGUAUCUAUAGGAAAAACCUUGGGGAGUGAACUGAUCUAUGGGAUCUAUUAUUGGUAAGACAGUCUAGAAUUUUGUUAAGCAGAUUAGGUGCCCCAAUUUCACACUAAUACUGUGAAAAUAUAUUAGUCCAAUGUGCAUAUUUUAUCUUUAAGGAAAACAUUAUGUGUUAGAAGAAUUGUUACAUUUUACCAUUUAAUUUGUAUAUAUUCAUUGUACAAAAUAAUAGUUUUCAGGACAUUAUAAUACAUGUAUAUCAUGUACUUUGUCUCCCCUCAAUGACCUCCAUUUAUUCAUUCUACUCCCUAUUAUUGGUCCUUUUUCUCUUUCUAUUUCUACUUUAUAGUUUUUAUUUAAAAAUAUAGAUUCCACUUAUUAAAAAAUAUUUGUCUUUCUGA